UAAAUGGCCGCGGUAUUUUGACCGUGCAAAGGUAGCAUAAUAAUUAGUUCAUUAAUUGUGGACUUGUAUGAAUGGUUGGACGUAAUAUUAACUGUCUUUUAUUUAAUUUUAAAAUUUAAAUUUUUAGUUAAAAUGCUUAAAUUUGGUUAUAGGACGAGAAGACCCUAUAGAUCUUUAUUAUGUAAUAAUUAUUUUUUGUUUUGUUUAUUUUUAUUAUUUUUAUUUCAUUGUUUUGUUGGGGUGACUUAGAGAAUUAUAUAACUCUUUAUUUAUUUAUACAUUUAUAUAUGUUUAAUUGACCUUUUAUUAAUGUUAUAAGAUUUAGAUACCUUAGGGAUAACAGCGUAAUUAUAAUUGAGAGUUCUUAUCGACAUUAUAGAUUGCGACCUCGAUGUUGGAUUAAGAUUAUAUUUUGGUGUAGAUGCUUUAAUAUUAAGUCUGUUCGACUUUUAAAUUCUUACAUGAUCUGAGU
rnacentral:rRNA from 1 species